GUGCUUGCUUCGGCAGCACAUAUACUAAAAUUGGAAUGAUACAGAGAAGAUUAGCAUGGCCCCUGUGCAAGGAUGACACCCAAAUUCUUUUUUUAAUUAAUUAAUUAAU